rnacentral:rRNA from 1 species
UACGUAGGGGGCUAGCGUUGUCCGGAUUUAUUGGGCGUAAAGAGCGUGUAGGCGGCCAGAUAGGUCUGCUGUGAAAACUCGAGGCUCAACCUCGAGAUGUCGGCGGAAACCAUUUGGCUAGAGUCCGGAAGAGGAAAGUGGAAUUCCUGGUGUAGCGGUGAAAUGCGCAGAUAUCAGGAAGAACACCCGUGGCGAAGGCGGCUUUCUGGGACAGUACUGACGCUGAGACGCGAAAGCGUGGGGAGCGAACAGG